rnacentral:rRNA from 1 species
CCCUUAGAUGUUCUGGGCCGCACGCGCGCUACACUGACGAUGGCAACGAGUUUUUCCUUCGCCGAAAGGUGUGGGUAAUCUUUUGAAACAUCGUCGUGCUGGGGAUAGAUCAUUGCAAUUUUUGAUCUUGAACGAGGAAUUCCUAGUAAGCGUGAGUCAUCAGCUCGCGUUGAUUACGUCCCUGCCCUUUGUACACACCGCCCGUCGCUACUACCGAUUGAAUGGUUUAGUGAGGACUCCUGAUUGGCGCCGCCGCCCCGGCAACGGAGCAGCGGACUGCCGAAAAGUUGUUCAAACUUGAUCAUUUAGAGGAAGUAAAAGUCGUAACA